rnacentral:ncRNA from 1 species
GCGAAAGCGAUGAGAGGAACGAGUAGCGGGAUGCCUUCCUUAUCAGAGAGCCGGUGGGCGGUGCGAACCGGCAGGGAGCUCCUGUGAAUCCAUCCUCGAGCAAAACGUUGAACGCCCAAAGGGCCAGUAGGCGUUUUCGGCCGCCGCCGUUAACGGCAAAAGGGGAAGGCAUAGCAAGCCUUCAAUAAGGGUGGCACCGCGGGAUGGCUCCCGUCCCUUUU